CCUACGGGAGGCAGCAGUAGGGAAUAUUGCUCAAUGGGGGAAACCCUGAAGCAGCAACGCCGCGUGGAGGAUGAAGGUUUUCGGAUUGUAAACUCCUUUUGUUAGAGAAGAUAAUGACGGUAUCUAACGAAUAAGCACCGGCUAACUACGUGCCAGCAGCCGCGGUAAUACGGAGGGUGCAAGCGUGACUCGGAAUCACUGGGCGUAAAGAGCGCGUAGGCGGGAUAGCAAGUCAGAUGUGAAAUCCUAUGGCUUAACCAUAGAACUGCAUUUGAAACUGUUAUGCUAGAGUAUGGGAGAGGUAGGUGGAAUUCUUGGUGUAGGGGUAAAAUGCGUAGAGAUCAAGAGGAAUACUCAUUGCGAAGGCGACCUGCUAGAACAUAACUGACGCUGAUGCGCGAAAGCGUGGGGAGCAAACAGGAUUAGAUACCCCAGUAGUC
rnacentral:rRNA from 1 species